rnacentral:rRNA from 1 species
CCUACGGGUGGCAGCAGUGGGGAAUAUUGGACAAUGGGCGAAAGCCUGAUCCAGCCAUGCCGCGUGUGUGAAGAAGGCCUUCGGGUUGUAAAGCACUUUCAGUGGGGAAGAAAGCCUUGGGGCUAAUACCCUCGAGGAAGGACAUCACCCACAGAAGAAGCACCGGCUAACUCCGUGCCAGCAGCCGCGGUAAUACGGAGGGUGCGAGCGUUAAUCGGAAUUACUGGGCGUAAAGCGCGCGUAGGCGGUCUGAUAAGCCGGUUGUGAAAGCCCCGGGCUCAACCUGGGAACGGCAUCCGGAACGGGCAGGCUAGAGUGCAGGAGAGGAAGGUAGAAUUCCCGGUGUAGCGGUGAAAUGCGUAGAGAUCGGGAGGAAUACCAGUGGCGAAGGCGGCCUUCUGGACUGACACUGACGCUGAGGUGCGAAAGCGUGGGUAGCAAACAGGAUUAGAUACCCGUGUAGUC